rnacentral:rRNA from 1 species
UGCGUAGGCGGGUCUUUAAGUCAGGGGUGAAAUCCUGGAGCUCAACUCCAGAACUGCCCUUGAUACUGAGGAUCUUGAGUUCGGGAGAGGUGAGUGGAACUGCGAGUGUAGAGGUGAAAUUCGUAGAUAUUCGCAAGAACACCAGUGGCGAAGGCGGCUCACUGGCCCGAUACUGACGCUGAGGCAAAGACUGGGGAGCAAACA